AGCUCCAAUAGCGUAUAUUAAGAUUGUUGCGGUUAAAAAGCUCGUAGUUGGAUUUCUGCUGAGGACGACCGGUCCGCUCUCUGGAUGAGUAUCUGGCUUGGCCUUGGCAUCUUCUUGGAGAACGUAGCUGCACUUGACUGUGUGGUGCGGUAUCCAGGACCUUUACUUUGAGGAGAUUAGAGUGUUUCAAGCAGGCACACGCCUUGAAUACAUUAGCAUGGAAUAAUAAGAUAGGACCUUGGUUCUAUUCUGUUGGUUUCUAGAGCUGAGGUAAUGAUUAAUAGGUAUAGUUGGGGGCAUUCGUAUUUAACUGUCAGACGUGAAAUUCUUGGAUUUGUUAAAGACGGACUACUGCGAAAGCAUUUGCCAAGGAAGUUUUCAUUG
rnacentral:rRNA from 1 species